UCAGAUGCCUCUCCGUGUGGCCCCAACACCUGUCUUUAUUACACUAUAUAUAUAACAAAAGUAACACACACACAUGAAUACAUACUCUGUACUUGCAGCAUCAUUGUCUUGAUACAUAUCUUGAUAUCUAUACACUCUUACAAAUGGCCGAUCAGCUCACCGAUGAUCAGAUCUCCGAGUUCAAGGAGGCUUUCAGCCUGUUCGACAAGGAUGGCGAUGGUUGUAUCACUACCAAGGAGCUUGGAACAGUGAUGAGGUCCUUGGGACAGAAUCCAACAGAGGCUGAGCUUCAAGAUAUGAUCAAUGAGGUUGAUGCCGAUGGGAAUGGGACAAUAGAUUUUCCAGAGUUUCUCAACUUGAUGGCAAGAAAGAUGAAGGACACGGACUCUGAGGAAGAGCUCAAGGAGGCAUUUCGGGUGUUUGAUAAGGACCAAAAUGGCUUCAUCUCUGCAGCCGAGCUUCGACAUGUUAUGACAAACCUUGGGGAGAAGCUGACUGAUGAAGAAGUCGAUGAGAUGAUUCGCGAGGCCGAUGUGGACGGUGAUGGGCAAAUCAACUAUGAGGAGUUCGUCAAGGUCAUGAUGGCUAAAAAAAGGUACUCUUUUUGGUGGAGGAAUAUUUAAUGUUGGGGGAACAUGAGUUGAGAACUUUGCCAGUGCAGAAUCAUUCGAAACAUAGAGGUGAUAACGGAUGCGACUUUAGAUGAUUGAGAAGAGAAGGAAAAUGAGAAGUGAUUCCAACUGAAAUCUGCUUAGAAUCGUGGAGACUUUUGCAUAAGGAGAAUGAGCAUGAGAUAUGAUGACAGCAUAAAGUUCAGAAAAAUCUCAAAGAAGCGCCCAUUUCGUAUACGAAGAAUUCUUAUGGGUCGGAUUCAUAUGGAUCGUUCCUGCACCAUCCUUUAAUCAGCCAUCAUCCCCCAUUAGGCAUUCCUGUCAUCAAUAAAUUUGGUAUUCUCUAUUAUCUAUGUAUAAAAAGGAGCACCGUUGAAGAGAAACAGCCCUUCACAAUUACAUUUGUUACAACUUAAUGUACUAAUGUCAGAUGAUAUGUAGUAAUUGUGUAUACUUCAGAUCAAGUCUUCUGCAAUGAAUGAUAUGUCAAUUCAGCUGCUUUGUAUUCGAAUGUAUUAUGUACGCAUAUUUCACAUGAAUAUCAGUGCCUGGAAAGUGUGCAAGCGUUAAAAUGUUGA